rnacentral:rRNA from 1 species
UACGAAGGGGGCUAGCGUUGUUCGGAUUUACUGGGCGUAAAGCGCACGUAGGCGGAUUGUUAAGUCAGAGGUGAAAUCCUGGAGCUCAACUCCAGAACUGCCUUUGAUACUGGCAAUCUAGAGUCCGGAAGAGGUGAGUGGAACUCCUAGUGUAGAGGUGGAAUUCGUAGAUAUUAGGAAGAACACCAGUGGCGAAGGCGGCUCACUGGUCCGGUACUGACGCUGAGGUGCGAAAGCCAGGGGAGCAAACGGG